UUCACAUCUUUGUUACAGGUGAAGUGCAUCGAUCAGUUAAAAUAACUCAAAAUUCAUUGAAAAUACGCCAACAACCAACGAAGCCGUACACAGACGCCUGUCACCAGUGAAACAAGUAGUUCAUCGUGGAGUUCGACACAAAGUUUACAAUUUUGGGGAGACAGAACAGUGCCAAUUAGAUUCGCGACCGCUCGAAUUAAGGAGCAGAGAUCAAGGGGUCGUUCGCGACGGACAAAGGCAAGGGAAAAGUUUUCCUUGAGAGAAAGAAAAACGAGAAGCGUAGAUGUCAGAGGCUGUCACACGCACAAUCGCGAAAGAUAGAAACGAUUCGCACUUGGGAGGAGAGGGGAACCCCUUCUACCGAUGCGAUCCCCUUUCUGGUCACCGACAAUGGUCCACAGGGAGAAAUUGAAUUGGCAACAUCAGUAAACGACGCCGGAGUUCCUACAGCACCCCCGAAAAGGAGCGAGAAACGUGAACGAGCGGGACGAAAGUGAGCUCGUGGAAGGGGUUGCUGGCUGAAGAGGGAAAGAGACGGUGAACAGGGACGCGUUUCACGCCUCGUGGAUUUCAAACCGUUUGAAAUCCAGGUGGAAAUAAUACAACUUUGCGUUCCUUGUUAAAGAUCAAAGGGAACUUACCCCAAUCUCGAUUUCGACGGUCCUAGGUUUCUCUUUCUCUGUUUCUCCCGUUCCUUUCGAUACAUACAGCCAACGGUAAGACGUUUCAUAUCCGUGGGCUCUAUUCAAAACCAUUUACGAAUAGCAUCGUAUUGUUUUUCCCCAAUACAACCGAGUCUUUUGUCUCGACUGCGACGAUACGCGGGCCUAUUUUUUUCAUUUCUCUUAGUGCCAGAUAUGCAACCGCACAUACAAUUUCAGUCUACUGUUUGAUUUCAAAAACUUCAAUUAAUGUUCAACUGCGGCGAGCGAUAUUACAGUCAUUAGCAUUAUGCGAUAUGACAUUUGGUCAACCAUCGCUUAUACCGGCAAUAAAACUAAAACUAAAUUGGUUUAGAACAUGAGAAUAUCGAAAUAGGCAUAUCAGUUUAGUCUCUAAUGAACACAACAUGCACUUCAUAUUUUCUUACAUACAUAUAUUUAGUAUGAAUUAGGCGCUUUUCGAAUUCUUACGACUGCGAGCAUAGAAUUGAGAGAAAAUAAAAAUAUCUAUCAAAAUGAAUCAUCUAAUGCUAUAAUACAACGCUAUAUCAUCAAAUUUCUUACAUUAUUGUUUAUAUUUGUAUUUAUUGUUUCAUAUAAUAUUUUUGUGUUAUUCAGAACAAGCACACGACGUAAUAAAUAGCAAUGUAUAUUACUUA